CCGUUUUCAUCCAUGUUCCGCUGAAUUAUGGAACAUCAGCUGAAGAUCGUUUUAAUUCUUUCCAUAUUCUAUCAAGAGAUCAGAGCUGAAGACACAGUGACUCAGUCCACAGAAGGUGUUUUUGUACAUGAAGGAGGAUCGGUGACUCUCAGCUGUAACUACACAACUAGUGAUACAACAGCAGAACUUUUCUGGUACAUUCAACGGCAAAGUGACUCUCCCAAGUAUAUGAUGAGAGAAAAUACCAGCACAACCACACACUACCUGUUCUGGUACAUCCAGCGUCCUAAUGACCCUCCCAAGUACAUGCUGACAAAGUUUUCUUCUGGAGAUGAAAAACAUGCCCCAGGAUUCCAGGGCAGGUUCACAGCCAGUCUAAAUACAAGUCUGAAAACAGUUCCUUUGACAAUAGAGGAUGUGCAGCUGUGUGACUCUGCUGUGUAUUACUGUGCACUGAAGCCCACAGUGACAGUAACACUCUGA